AUUAUUAUUAUUAUUAUUAUCAUUAUUAUUAUUAUUAUUAUUAUGAGUGGCUGAAGAGGAGUAAGGAAAGAGACGCCAGUAAUUUAUUAUACUUGCCAAGACAUGACAGAUGUUCUACUGUAGUGUUUAUUAUAAUGUUAUAAUUAUUAUUAUAGUCACUAAAUGUCCCUAAAAAUAACGCACUCAUGAAACGGAGCAAGUUACCCGUUAAAUUCGUUUUCUGUACUUGUGCGGGAGAGAUAACAGGAGCCCCACAGCGCCACACUCACGGCAUGCGCGCACCGGUUAGUUGUCCCGAUGUGAAGCAACCUCGGUGGAAUGAGUGGAUCCGGAUCACACACAAACAUUACGGCGCCUUAUCUCAACUAUUUUUUACGCACUCUAGUAGAAAUUAAUGGAUUUUUUUUUUUUUUUAUACUAGUGAUACUUUGAAAAAUUUGACAAAUAUUCUGCACAAUUAACGGGGAAAAAAAAUAAAAACCUUCUAAUCUCUGGGCUUUAAGAGUCAUGGUUAUGAGAAUCCGACGUGCUUCAAAAUACGGGCCUCGAUUUUGUUCCGCUUGGUCGAGUCGAAUGUUUCCCACACGACAUUGUAGCUUUACUGUAUGUGAGUAUGAAAUGUUAGUGUCGCGUAAAGUUGGCAUGAUUAAUCGUACGUUCGCUUCCUCCGUAAAAAUAUCGAUAAUAAGUAAGCGCUGCCAAAAGAUGGGAUGGCUCAGGUGUUUCGAGCAGUGAGGCGUGAAUCCUGUCAGUAAAUAGGUACAGUGAACUGUGGAUUCGAACCCUAGCCAUUCGUGUGUGUGUGUAUGUGUGUGUGUGUGUGUGUGUGUGUGUGUGGGAUCGGGUCUCGCAGCGCCGCUCGGUCUGUGGGGUUUCGGAUGUGCUCCCGGACAGGAACGCCAAAGAACUGCGAUGAUGAGAACGAGGAUAACGAGUAAAGGAACAAGUGGAAUCCCGCCAGCACAAUGGAAAGCAGCUAUGCCCAGAAAGGAGGCGCUACUAGAGUUCGCAAAACGCCUCACAUACUCACCACUCACCUGCCGCCUCCACCUACCCUCGGCUGAAUGGAGCGAUCAUCAAGCUGACCACUGGCUAAAAUAACACUAGCAUUAUUUGAAGGGUAUGUUUGUAGUAGAGUUGAUAACGACGUUAAAGUUGUGUGAAAAUAAUUAAAGUACUACUCGUCAUUUGAAAUAAUUAUUUAACGUUAGAAUAAGCUAACUAGUCUCCCACUCCAUGUGCCGAUAGCAACAGACACAAAAACCCGACGGAAACCCGUCACCCAAGAACUCUCUAGACCAGAGGAGAGGAGCAAUUAGGAGGAAAAAACAUUGUCUCUGGAAAGUUCUGCAAGGAGGCUGUAGAGGCGUGGACGCACUUGUCCACUUGUCCUCCAACACUGCCACAGACAUUGCUAGAGACUUGUGGUGAAGCUGGAAUCAGUGUUUCUAAUCGUGCAACAAAGAUGGGUACGCGUGACAAUGUCUGACAAGACAGCAGCAGUGCGUCACCAGAGUAGACAGUUUCCUUGCUGGUGCUGGAACGUUCAUCGCCAUGAAAGAAAUUAUGAGACCAAUGAUUUCUGUGUUGGGAUAAUAGAUGCCACUAGAUAAGUCACAGUAAAGUUUAUCCCAAGAAACAUCCACAUUAGUGCUGUCUAUAUGUUUCCACACAAUGUGACACUCUUGUCCGUAACAGUGACACUCCGAACAUGCAAACAGUCAGUGCCGUGUAUGAAGUCUUAGCGCCGGCUGGGAGCAGGCGUGUCCGCUGCAUGACUUUCCACCAUAGAUGUAAGUUGGACAAGAUUUGCGAUGACUACGAACUGGUGCAUCUCGCAAGCUGGUGAUCCUGCAGAGGCGACAGAUUUAACACGUAUUCUCGUAGGUUAUAAUUUAAACGGUGUUGUGGUUUGUAAAUUAUUUUUACGAAAUAGAUGACGAAUGGUGCACGUCUGGAUGGCUAGGAGGACUGCGUGUCACUACGUGCUAUUGUGUACAGUCGUGUGGAGGAACCUGAGGCUGCUGUGUUGUACAAGUGGUGAGGGAGUUCCGCGGGGCAUGUAAAUACAACUAGUGGAUAGUCUUUAAAAGGUGUUAAUAUUCUUAAUGUCCCAGUGUUUAGGGUGUGUAGUACUCUAUUGGUGAGCUAGACUAAGGUGACGUACAAUGAAAUGCUCUGUGUUGAGGGGCGCACCUUGCCUGCCGUGACGUGUGGGGAUGUUGAGGAGUUAGUGUUACCCUGGGAGUAGUGGUGGAUAUGGGAAUGACACCUGGGAGGAAUGGUGGGUGUUGGAGUAUCAUCUGGCGGGAUGCGUCAAUGCCACCCUGUGGGGAGUGACAGGUGCUGGUGUCACCCUAUGAAAGCCUCAACACGGAGGAAAAGCUGUAUGCAUAGAAAGAUAAUACUCGUAUCGUAUGUAAAAGAAUAUCGUACAUUUAUAAUAAGGACACUACUACUACUACUACUACUACUACUACUAUUGCCAAAGUGAAUGUAGAAGAAUGCUACGUACGUAUAGCAUGGAUGUAGAUUUUUGGCUAUUUAAUAAAUGUAAACUCUUA